UACGUAGGGUGCAAGCGUUGUCCGGAAUUAUUGGGCGUAAAGAGCGUGUAGGCGGCUUGAUUAGUCUGCUGUGAAAGUCCAGGGCUCAACCCUGGAAUGCCGGUGGAUACUGUCAAGCUAGAGUCCGGAAGGGGCGAGUGGAAUUCCUGGUGUAGCGGUGAAAUGCGCAGAUAUCAGGAGGAACACCUGUGGCGAAAGCGGCUCACUGGACCAUAACUGACGCUGAUGCACGAAAGCUAGGGGAGCAAACAGG
rnacentral:rRNA from 1 species